GACGAACGCUGGCGGCGUGCUUAACACAUGCAAGUCGAACGGAAAGGCCCUGCUUUUGUGGGGUGCUCGAGUGGCGAACGGGUGAGUAACCCGUGAGUAACCUGCCCUUGACUUUGGGAUAACUUCAGGAAAGUGGGGCUAUUACCGGAUAGGAGCUCCUGCUGCAUGGUGGGGGUGGGAAAGUUUCGGCGGUUGGGGAUGGACUCGCGGCUUAUCGGCUUGUUGGUGGGGUAGUGGCUUAGCAAGGCUUGGACGGGUAGCCGGCCUGAGAGGCGGAGCGGACACACUAGGAUUGAGGUACGGCACAGCCCCGAAUGGUACGCAGGGGUGGAGUAGAGUGUACAAGACGCGGGAGGAUGGUGUGAUAACGCCGUGCGGGGUAAGACGGCCAUGGCGUAGGAAAGCGAAGCCGUUUUAGACGAAGCGAUAGUGACGGUACCGGGUGAAGAAGCACCGGCUAACUCCGUG
rnacentral:rRNA from 1 species